AGGGAGUGCGCAUGCGGCCGAGUGCGGGACUGGGGCUCCUGGCUGUGGGUGUGGUACCGAGGCUUCAGCGGGUGCCGCCCGCCUAGAGGGAGUGGAGCGGUGAGCACGUCAGGGGUGGGGGGCGCAGGUCAAGCUUUCACCAGUUUUUAAUUCUUUGAUGGGGUAAAUUUGAGCAAUUUUCUCGACUUGUCGACAUUCGUUAUUAACUGAGCAGGAAUCAGGAGAGGAACCCGGUCCUCUCCACACAGCCCAGCAGGUACGCCGCCCAUGUGCCUGUGGAGAAGAGAGGUUCCUGUGGGGCAGACAGAGAGCCUACGACUAGAUUUGCAUCUUUACGUCCUGCGCGGAGGCUGCUACACACAUGCAGAAGUCAUGCUGGUGGCCUGGACAGUGAAGGGAGAGAAGUGGAUUUGGGAGACAUUUAGGAGAUGGCACCAAAAGCGAAGGAAGCUCCUGCUCAUCCUAAAGCCGAAGCCAAAGCGAAGGCUUUAAAGGCCAAGAAGGCAGUGUUGAAAGGUGUCCGCAGCCACACGCAAAAAAGAAGAUCCGCAUGUCACUCACCUUCAGGCGGCCCAAGACACUGCGACUCCGGAGGCAGCCCAGAUAUCCUCGGAAGAGCACCCCCAGGAGAAACAAGCUUGGCCACUAUGCUAUCAUCAAGUUUCCGCUGGCCACUGAGUCGGCCGUGAAGAAGAUAGAAGAAAACAACACGCUUGUGUUCACUGUGGAUGUUAAAGCCAACAAGCACCAGAUCAGACAGGCUGUGAAGAAGCUCUAUGACAGUGAUGUGGCCAAGGUCACCACCCUGAUUUGUCCUGAUAAGGAGAACAAGGCAUAUGUUCGACUUGCUCCUGAUUAUGAUGCUUUCGAUGUUGUAACAAAAUUGGGAUCACCUAAACUGAGUCCAGCUGGCUAACUCUAAAUAUAUGUGUAUCUUUUCAGCAUAAAAAAAUAAUGUUUUUCAUAAGAAUGACAACUUAAUUAGAAUCAAAUCUAUAAGCUUUAAGAUUUUACGUUUCUAGUAAGUAUAAUAUUAGCUUAUUUGACUAGAACUCAAGCAGAAUAGGAAUUUAUGCUUGUUUUAUAUUCAAUAAUGAUAAUUUUGAAGAUAUAGUUGUUUUAUUACACCAAAAAUACUAUAUUAAUCUUAUUUAACUAAGUUUUAUCCAAAUCAUGUUAACUUAAGAAACAUUUGAUCAGUUCCUAUAUUUCUAGGAGUUUGGUGAAUAUUUAUUUAUAAAUGCUUAUUUUUUUCCAAGCCAAGUUAGAAUAGAGCACUUUUAGAGGAUUUCAUAAAUGAAUUUUGCAAUGCUCUCUGGAGUUAAGAAAAUAUCACAUAUACAUAACAUACAUUAAUAGAUACACAAACACAAAUAGAGAUUUCAUAGCUUUCAUCCUGAAAUUUCAGCCAUGAAUCAGGCAUAAAUAUUCUGAUGGUUAAUUUCAGACAUCUACUUGAUCGGAUUGAGAGACACGCAUAGCUGGUCAAACACGAUUUCAGCCAUGAAUCAGGCAUAAAUAUUCUGAUGGUUAAUUUUAGACAUCUACUUGACUGGAUUAAGAGACACACAUAGCUGGUCAAACAUGAUUUCUGACAUGAAUCAGGCAUAAAUAUUCUGACGGUUAAUUUUAGACAUCUACUUGACUGGAUUAAGAGACACACAUAGCUGGUCAAACAUGAUUUCAGCCAUGAAUCAGCCAUAAAUAUUCUGACGGUUAAUUUUAGACAUCUACUUGAUCGGAUUGAGAGACACACAUAGCUGGUCAAACACGAUUUCAGCCAUGAAUCAGGCAUAAAUAUUCUGAUGGUUAAUUUUAGACAUCUACUUGAGUGGAUUGAGAGACACACAUAGCUGGUCAAACACAAUUUCAGCCAUGAAUCAGGCAUAAAUAUUCUGAUGGUUAAUUUUAGACAUCUACUUGAGUGGAUUGAGAGACACACAUAGCUGGUCAAACAAUUUCAGCCAUGAAUCAGGCAUAAAUAUUCUGACGGUUAAUUUUAGACAUCUACUUGAGUGGAUUGAGAGACACACAUAGCUGGUCAAACACGAUUUCAGCCAUGAAUCAGGCAUAAAUAUUCUGACGGUUAAUUUUAGACAUCAACUUGACUGGAUUAAGGGACACACAUAGCUGGUCAAACACGAUUUCAGCCAUGAAUCAGGCAUAAAUAUUCUGACGGUUAAUCGUAGACGUCUACUUGACUGGAUUGAGAGACACACAUAGCUGGUCAAACACGAUUUCAGCCAUGAAUCAGGCAUAAAUAUUCUGAUGGUUAAUCGUAGACAUCUACUUAACUGGAUUGAGAGACACACAUAGCUGGUCAAACACGAUUUCAGCCAUGAAUCAGGCAUAAAUAUUCUGAUGGUUAAUCGUAGACAUCUACUUGACUGGAUUGAGAGACACACAUAGCUGGUCAAACACGAUUUCAGCCAUGAAUCAGGCAUAAAUAUUCUGAUGGUUAAUCGUAGACAUCUACUUGACUGGAUUGAGAGACACACAUAGCUGGUCAAACACGAUUUCAGCCAUGAAUCAGGCAUAAAUAUUCUGAUGGUUAAUCGUAGACAUCUACUUGACUGGAUUGAGAGACACACAUAGCUGGUCAAACACGAUUUCAGCCAUGAAUCAGGCAUAAAUAUUCUGAUGGUUAAUCGUAGACGUCUACUUGACUGGAUUGAGAGACACACACAGCUGGUCAAACACGAUUUCUGGGCAUAUCUAUGAGGGUGUUUCUGGAAGACACUGAGAUAACCAUGACCCAAUGUGGAUGGGCACUGAUAUGGUUUGGCUGUGUCCCCACCCAGAUCUCAUCUUGAAUUGUAGUUCCUGUAAUACCUACAUGUCGUGGGAGGGACCCAAUGGGAGGUGACUGAAUCAUGGUGGUGGUUACCGCCAUGCUGUUCUCAUGACAGUGAGUGAGUUCUCAUGAUCUGAUGGUUUUAUAAGGGGCUUUUCCCCUUUGGGUCAGCACUUCUUGUUGCUGCCAUGUGAAGAGGGACAGCUUUGCUUCCCCUUCUGCCAUGAUUGUGAGGCCCCUGCAGCCAUGUGGAACUGUCAGCCCAUUAAACCCCUUUGUUCUUUAUAAA
ensembl:lncRNA RPL23AP7 ribosomal protein L23a pseudogene 7